CUAUAAUCUAUGACUAUAAGCUGGAGAAGAUAGAAAUGUUUCCUUCACAACGAUAAUAUGGAAAUCAUCCUUUGAGAGCCAAAAUACUUUCUGACAAGUCAAACAAGUUUCGUGAUUACAUUAUAAAAAGUGACAAAUGAGUAUAAUUGCCAGUUAAAUCAACUUUAGCUGAAUUUCGGCUGUCAGCACUCAGGAGUAUGUGUCUGGCUCUCAGUGGCCAUCAAACACCUGCAAGUUUACUGUAUGGGAAAAAGCGAUAAGAGCGCAGAUGUUCUGUGGAUUCUGUGGACCCUCAAUGACAACUGAUGUGGGAGAAACUAUAAAGUAUAAAACCCCAGGGCCUCUGCAUGGCUUUUGGAAAACACAACACAACAUAAAGAGCAAGACUGUGGCAAAAUAAGAGCAUGCAUGUAGACUAGUAGGUGAACCGGUGACCCAGUUCUCAGAUGGAGAAUUUAUCAUCCAAGAAAGAGAGUGUUAAAGUCCAACACAGGUGGGUGCUGCUCCCCUGUGGGAAUGUGUCAUGGUUUUGUCCACCCUGAGAAACUCUCCCAGUAGAUUAAAGGGUUACAUAUUGCUGGUUAGAUCUUUGCCAAAGCAGACAGAGACACAAAUUAGUUGUGAAAAUGUGGGCCUUGUUGGUGCUCGCUCUUGCCCUCACUGUUAGGGCAUCAGAAACCAGCAACGACACAGCAGUGGAAGAAAAACCUGUCAUAGCCAGAGCUAAACUGAUGGCUCCCAGUGUGGUCGGAUGAGGCAUAAAGAAGCUGCCUGAGCUCUAUCAUUUCCUCAUGGAGCGAUCGGCUUUAUACCACAACUUGGAAUAUGAUUCAUCGGAGGAGAAGAAUCCCCGUCUGAUAUUCUAUAAUGAAAAGGACGAGGUUGUAAAGGUGAGAUACUGUUCCCGUGAAGAAAAUGAAGGCGGACGAGAUCAGCAGCCUGUUGGAGUCUCUGGGUUUCUACAAGAGGUCCCAGAAAGGGGAAGAGGUGCCAGAGGAGUUCCAGCAUUUCCCCCUGCCAGCCCCCAGGGACGAGCUGUGAUGACACCUUGUGGCCAAACUCUGCUUCUGCACUUCCAGACCUGCAUUAAUGACGACUGGGGCCCAAAGGCUGGAACAGCAGCCAGGCCCCCCUCUGAGGACUCGCAGGCUGGGUGCAGAGUGCAGGGUGUUGCUCUGUCAUUGUGUUUAUUUACUAAAUUUAAAUAAAAAUACUAUAAAACACUAAAAAAGAAGUGAAUCAAUGCAUUGAAACUGCCUGAUUAUGCACUCCUUAUUUGAUUUCGGCAGAGCUUAAAUAACUGCUGAAUUC
ensembl:lncRNA